rnacentral:tRNA from 1 species
GAGGCUGUAGCUCAGUGGUAGAGUUCCUGCCUCACACACGUGAGGCACUGAGUUUGAUCCUCAGCACCACA